CAGAUCCACAGCAGCACCUUCCAGGCAUGGCACGGGAUGCAGUUUCUAGAGGAGCUGAUCCUAAGCCACAACCCCCUGACCGUGAUUGCUGACACAGCAUUCUUCAAGCUGCCUUCAGUCAACUAUCUGGACCUGAGUGCAACUCAAGUGACUCCGCAGAC